UACAGAGGUCUCAAGCGUUGUUCGGAUUCAUUGGGCGUAAAGGGUGCGUAGGUGGCGGGGUAAGUCAGGUGUGAAAUCUCGGGGCUCAACCCCGAAACUGCACUUGAUACUGCCUUGCUCGAGUACUGGAGAGGAGAUUGGAAUUUACGGUGUAGCAGUGAAAUGCGUAGAUAUCGUAAGGAAGACCAGUGGCGAAGGCGAAUCUCUGGACAGUUACUGACACUGAGGCACGAAGGCCAGGGAGCAAACGG
rnacentral:rRNA from 1 species